GAUGAACGCUGGCGGCGUGCCUAAUACAUGCCAGUCGAGCGAACGGACGAGAAGCUUUCUUCUCUGAUGUUAGCGGCGGACGGGUGAGUAACACAUGGAUAACCUACCUAUAUUACUGGGAUGAAUUCGGGAAACCAGAUCUACUACCGGCUAAUAUUUUGAACCGCAUGGUUCAAAAGUGAAAGACGGUUUUCCCGUCACUUAUAGAUGGUUCCGCGCUGGAUUAGCUAGUUGGUAAGGUAACGGCUUACCAAGGCAACGAUGCAUAGCCGACCUGAGAGGGUGAUCAGCCACACUGGAACUGAGACACGGUCCAGACUCCUACGGGAGGCAGCAGUAGGGAAUAUUCCGCAAUGGGCGAAAGCCUGACGGAGCAACGCCGCGUGAGUGAUGAAGGUCUUCGGAUCGUAAAACUCUGUUAUUAGGGAAGAACAUAUGUGUAAGUAACUGUGCACAUCUUGACGGUACCUAAUCAGAAAGCCACGGCUAACUACGUG
rnacentral:rRNA from 1 species